CUAGAAGAAAAAAAAAACAUUAAUUCUACCAAAAGUUUUUGUGUAUGUAAAGGAAUUAAUACCUUUAUUCAACAAGAAUGCAUUGAUCAAAUUUAAUUGCUACAAAAAAGGAUCAAAUAAAUGCUGUUGUUUUGAACUUUCUAUACAUCAAAGAAUUCUGAAAAAACAAAACUGUUUCAACAAAAUAUUAAACAGCACAACUGUUUCGAGCACUGAUAAUUAUAAGAAAUGUUUCUUGAGGGCCAAAUCAGCAUAUUGUUGAUUUCUAAAGGAUCAUGUGAUACUAAGGACUGUAAUGUUAAUGGCUGAUGAAAAUUUAGCUUUGCCAUUUCAGGAAUAAACUGCAAUUUAAAAUAUAUUAAAACAGAAAACAGUUGAUAUAGAAGAAAUGGAUUUUGAAUAAAGGAGGACAAAGGAGAGAAAGAGUGAAUUAAUUUACACUGUCUAACUUUGCCCACUGGUCUUUAUAUACUAUCCAUCCCAUUCCACAGUGUUCCAGCAACCAUCAGGUGUUCCAUUUGCUUCCCUCAGUGCUCCCUGGGAAAUGCGGUUUGCAGGACACCCACGCAAUCAGGAUACUCAUUUCACGCUGUUCAUGCAGUGGGAUUUAUGUCAUACAUUUCUCUCUCUCUCUCUCUCUCUCUCUCUCUCUCUCUCUUCUUGCAUUAAAGCUUGUUUCUAAUUACUAGUCAGAAAUCCAGCCCUUUUUCUGUGUCGGCCUCCCGGAACAGUCACUGGAAAUGACACCUGCGACGCAGCCGCGAUGGCUAUAAAAUGACAAAUUCAAAGAGGGGAAGGAGAAAAAGCAAGAAUUAAAGAAAAAGCAGGGGGUGAGGAGCGUGUGAUAGGAGAGCAGGGUUUUCUCAGCACUGGUAGGAGCAGAUGGUGAGCACAUUUUGCACAUCAUUUGUGAAUGAUUUCAAAAUCUAUUUAUCUAUUCCAAAGAGAUCGCUGGAAUCCCCAUCUGCCUGCCUUUUUUCUCCUCUCUUCUAUAAUUGUUUCCAUCUCACAUCGUUGCAAACGGAGAAGAGGAGGAGGCUGGCUCAACGAGAGGAGCGAGAGAGAGACAGAAGACAGAGAAAGAAUGUAAUACUGCCACUGUUGAACAUCAGCAGGGAGCUACAGGCAGAAGCCCUUCAGAGAAACUGUCCGGCUACACCUGUCGACAGGAGCUGA
ensembl:lncRNA